rnacentral:rRNA from 1 species
UACGUAGGGUGCAAGCGUUGUCCGGAAUUAUUGGGCGUAAAGAGCUCGUAGGCGGUCUGUCGCGUCGGCUGUGAAAUCCCGAGGCUCAACCUCGGGUCUGCAGUCGAUACGGGCAAACUAGAGUAUUGCAGGGAGACUGGAAUUCCUGGUGUAGCGGUGAAAUGCGCAGAUAUCAGGAGGAACACCGGUGGCGAAGGCGGGUCUCUGGAACGCAACUGACGCUGAGACGCGAAAGCGUGGGAGCAAACAGG